rnacentral:lncRNA from 1 species
UGAAUGUCUUGAAAGUAACUCUUACCAACAAGGGAUCAUAGGUCCCAGUUUUACACUUAAGAAAACUGAGUCUCAGAGAAAUGAAGUGACUUGUCCAAGAGGUACCAGCCAGCAUAAUUGGUGGUAGCCAGAGGAAGAGAAAGACCCUUAGGCUCUUAUCUUGAGUUGUUCCUGGCCUGGCAGAGGAACGAAACUCCUUCCUGGAAGACAGUGAAAGAUAAGCUCAGGACUCAGGGUGGC